ACACAAAUACCAAUUCAGCCAUUCAUGCAAAUAUUGUCAUAAGCCAUUCGAUUCAAAUCAUGAAUUUACAACACAUGAAAACAGUCUCCAAUUACUCUAUUUUCAAACCAUCAUUCAAUUUCAAGACAAUUUAUAAAAUCAUUUCGUUUAAACACAUUUUGUUUAUAAAACAUAAAGAUUUACCAUCUAAACUCAUUUUCCAUAAAAUCACAAAAUCAGAUAAAAAUCACUUUAGAUAAUUAAGACGAUAGUAAGGUUACUCACUGUACUAGGAGUUCGAUAUACUCUUAUUCUCGAUCUUCGGGCACAAUCUCUUUACCCUUGUUGGAGGGCUCACCACCUAUACAUCAUGCGUGAUACGAAUUUCAAUAAAUUGUGUCAAUUUAUCAUAAACUAUUUCAAGCUCUAUAAAUCUAUAUGAAUGCACAAAAUGUGAUGCAAAAUGUCCGAAGAGUCGUUUAAAUAUGGUAUUCGACCCAAUUCGUACUAUUAUAAGUGUAAUUGGCUAAAACCUCCAAUUUAACUCCAAAUUGAUUUCUUUUAGUUUCUACACUCCAAUUAUACUUAAAAUACCUCAAUGACUAUGAAUAUGAUUCAAUUUAUCAGUCUGAACCAUAAAUCGCACAUGUCUAUACAUUAGGUAAAAAUUCAAAUUUUCAUGCCAAAAUUUCCCAUUAAAUUUCUAGCCUCACCAAUCAUUAAAUACCACCAAAAUAUCAUGAAAUAUCAUCAAUUUCAGCCUCAAUAUGCUCCCUAGAAAAUUUGGCCUUUUGUGGGUUUGUGAAGAACAAAGUGAUUCCUUGCUAGAUUUUCAUACUUUACAUUACCAAACAACCAAAAACACUUAAUUACCUUGAAAUCUAGCAAAAUCAAUGCUCAAAACCUCUCCUUUCAAAUUCGGCCAACAUGGGUUCAUCAUGCAAACUUGAGUUCUAAGCAUGGGUAGUGUAAAUCACAAGAUAAAAUGACAAAAUUUUACCUUUAUUAGCUUAAUCCCUUGAAAUCCCACACUUUUUCUUCAAUUUUCCCACCUAGGGUUCUUA
rnacentral:lncRNA from 1 species